GUUGGGUUGUUGCUGGCCUCUAGAGGCAUGUGCACGCCUGCCACCGUUUUCAACCACCUGUGCACCUUUUGUAGACUUGGAUACCUUUCGAGGGUCAACCUCGGUUAGGGGAUUGUCGUGCUGCUUUGCUACACUAGUGGUAGUGGAGUGGUCGACUUUCCUUACACUUCCGGUCUAUGUCUUUAUAUACCCCGUAUAGAAUGUAUUAGAAUGUUUUGUUAUUGGCCUUUAGUGCCUUUAAUCAAAUACAACUUUCAGCAACGGAUCUCUUGGCUCUCGCAUCGAUGAAGAACGCAGCGAAAUGCGAUAAGUAAUGUGAAUUGCAGAAUUCAGUGAAUCAUCGAAUCUUUGAACGCACCUUGCGCUCCUUGGUAUUCCGAGGAGCAUGCCUGUUUGAGUGUCAUUAAAUUCUCAACCUAACCACUUUGUUGUUGGUUAAGGCUUGGAUGUGGGGGUUGCGGGCUUCACAGAAGUCGGCUCUCCUUAAAUGCAUUAGUGGAACCUUUUGUUGACCUGUUUCCUGGUGUGAUAAUUAUCUACACUGCGGGCGGUCGGCGAUUCUAAUGGGGCUCUGCUUCUAACUUGUUCUUAGCGGAACACUUUGACAAUUUGACCUCAAAUCAGG
rnacentral:rRNA from 1 species